rnacentral:rRNA from 1 species
AUUAAACGCUGGCGGCAUGCCUUACACAUGCAAGUCGAACGGCAGCACGGGGGCAACCCUGGUGGCGAGUGGCGGACGGGUGAGUAAAGCAUCGGAACGUAUCCUGGAGUGGGGGAUAACGUAGCGAAAGUUACGCUAAUACCGCAUAUUCUGUGAGCAGGAAAGCAGGGGAUCGCAAGACCUUGCGCUCUGGGAGCGGCCGAUGUCGGAUUAGCUAGUUGGUGGGGUAAAGCCUACCAAGGCGACGAUCCGUAGCGGGUCUGAGAGGAUGAUCCGCCACACUGGGACUGAGACACGGCCCAGACUCCUACGGGAGGCAGCAGUGGGGAAUUUUGGACAAUGGGCGGAAGCCUGAUCCAGCCAUGCCGCGUGAGUGAAGAAGGCCU